GAAGCGGCUUUCGUGUGUGCGUCAGGCAAAGAGCUGAGGCAGCCUUGCGGGGUGGUGCGCUGUGCUGAGGGAGCAGGCGCGGUCCCGCCGGCGGGAGCUGAGCGGGAUGAGAGGCGCGGCGGGACCCGCGGCCCCAGGACGUGCGGCUGUGAGGAAUUGCAGCCGUCGGAUUUGCUCACAGUGGGGGCACAGCAGCCCCAGAACCGGAGUGGGAGGUGGAUCGCUGCACUGAAGAAAAAUUUUUUCCAACAAUUGAUAAACUACACUUUUGCUAAAAUAUGUAAUCCAGACCAGAAUUUUCAGUAGUGUUUACUGUCAGCGUGAUGACUUUCUACGCCUCAGUAAAGCAGAGCUCUUCAAGAAUUCACUGUGAAGAAACGAUUUGUCUGUGUUGUAGUAAACGUUGCAAUUAAGCACAUCAUGUUUCCCAGUCUAUGGGGGUGAGUCCAUAGCCUUUGUUAACAACAGUGCUGGACACACCUUUUUUCUUUCUUCCUUUUUUUUUUUUUUUUUCUUAGUCAUCCUGUACAAAGAGUACUGGCAUCACUACACAGAAGGAAAGGGAGGAUAUAAAGCAGGCCAAGAAAAGCAGUGCGUGGACACUGGGAAGCAAACGUGCAGCUUGUGUCAGCAUCUAGAAAUACCCACUACCAUGUACAUGUAUUGAACAAAUGUAAAACUUUCUUUGGACAGUUUUUUUUUUUUUUUCAAUUAUGGCCAUGCAACUGAAAACAGAAUCCGUUGGGAUUCCACCAUAUCUGUGACAGUGAACUGCAACGCUGAAGUAAACCACAUAACACUUCUAGGUAAUUGUGAUGUAAUGCCUGUGCAGCUGCAAUUCCACAACCAAUAAAAGAUGGUUAAAAAGUGUAAUUCCUGAAGUUUACAGAUUUGCACCCCAGGAACAAACUUUGUGAUGAAUAUUGGAAGUUUUGGUAACUAUCUGAUGGCUUCACAGCCCUCAGUGAGGAAAGCUAUUUACGGUUGAUGCUUCAGAUGUAUCUUGCUGUCUCUUAAAAAUAAUGACUGAGUUGUUCUAACAAAGAGAGUAGUUAUUAUUGUGUUCCUCUUUGAAAAUAUGGGUACCAAGGAGAUACAUGGGAGCAGGCUUGAACAUCACCCCACCAUGUUGUGCCCUUUCGAAAACUUGGAGUACAAAAAAAGAGCGGGAAAAAACAUCAGAAGUUAAAGGACGAACAAUAGACUGUUUAUGAGAGAGUGUAAGAAAGUAAUUAAAUAUUGAUAUGUGGUGAUUUCAUUUCCUCCUUAAGUCUGGUAACGCAAAUGUCUCAGCAUAAAGAUAAUGUGGCACUGAAAUGGCUCUGAGCAGCUGAAGUGAUCAUGUAAUAAGUGAACUUCAGAAUAUUUUACCAGGAUAUCAGCAUUUGAGAUGAAUGUGCGAGCUGUGCAUGAGUCAGAUAAAGGACAAACGUGGAAAUCUUAGUUACAAAGAAUGCAAUUACAGAAAGAUGGAGGGAGUAUUCUAAUGAGCUCUUUAAUGGUGAAAUGGAUAAAGGCAAGCAAACAGCAGAUUUCCAGCCAGCUGAGCUAUUUGUAGAAGAAUCAAGAGGCAAUCAGGACACCCAGGAACAAUACGGCACCAGGUGCUGAUAGUGUUUUCACUGAAUUAUUAAAAACAGGAGGGGAUGUGCUAACUCCAAGACUAUAAAAGCUAAUUUGUGUUAAUUUGGUGAUGUGAAAAUAAUGUAGAGAAAUGGGUAAGGGUGUAUCUGUUUUUGAAAAAGGACAAAGUGAGACCUAACGGCUCUGGCAUCAUCUCACUGUUUAUUACAGCAUGUGAUGUUCUAGGUUAUUUGUUUCCGUGUAGUUAGCCUUCUCAAAGAACAGGAGUACAGCACAAUGAUUAUUUUCAAAUUGUAAAGUACUCAAGGGAAAAUAUAGGAACAUGAACAGGCUACAUAUAGAGAUCUUAAUUUAAGAAAGCACAUGAUGGUACAUCUGCACUGUAAUAAAAAUAUCUAUGACAGAUUAUUUUUUCAGUGUGUGUAAGUAAACUAUCCCAUUUUUAUUUUUUAUUCUAAUAUACAUCAUCAUCAUAGUCAGAAAGGAAACUUGGUGCUAUUUGUAGGGUGUGUUGUGUUUUCUUAUUUACUGCAUUUAAAGACAUUCAACUUUAAUAAGAAAAUACAACCUGAAAUGGUGGUAGGCUUCUGUUUUAAAGUCUUUAUAUAGUAGAAUGUCCAUGUUAUUUCAUGUAGAUGCUCAGUUCUAGCUGAACUGGCUGGGAGGAAGAGUAGCUAGCUGUAACAAAUAAAAAUAUGAAUCUCUCUUGAUUUUUCAUUCUGUUGCAGAUAGGAAGCCCUUAUUUUUUGGGCUGAUAUCCAUCAUUUUUUCCUCCAUCAUAGUAGAACUGUAGUCAUGUAGUAUCAUGCAGUUUACCUUCAGCUAAAAGUGUAGAAAACCAUAGUAUAUCUCAGUUCUGAUGUAGGUUUGAAAGAAAAGUGUGUUGGGCUGAUUCUAAAGAAAAAUACUAUUUGCCUCACUUUUUUGUCCUUCAGUGAUAUAAAAGAAAUUUCAAGCGUACCAAAAGAAUACAUCCAAUGUUGUUCCAGUCAAACAGGAAUAAAGAAAUCUUGAGUGCUGAAGUUAAGAGACCUUACUGGAAACUAAGCAAAGACAGGGUUGUGUGCUGUAGGUGCACUUUAGGAAAGACAACUCCAGCUGAAAUUCAAAUGAAAGAAGAGUAGACUAACGUGAGAGAAAGGGGCAGUGGCUUUCAUAAAAUCAACCAGCAGCUCAGUGACACAGGCACCAUUGUUUCUUCCUUCGUAUGUGUUGAGAACCAGACUGGAAGUAAUCCAAGCAGAUUCUUUUUAGCCUGAAGUAGUGAAAGAGGCUACUAGAACUUAUUCCAUUUGGAAAAUCUCCAGAAGAUUGAACUUGUACAGGACUGAACUGAAAACUGGUGACAAGCAGGAUCUGAGCUACCAAGACAGCAAAGGACAGGUUGGCGUGGAUAUGAUAGCGUUGGUUGCGGAUGGUGCUCACAGACCUGGCAGAAGACAGAAAGGAAACACUCCACAGUAAUUACCUGGAGCCCAAUCACAUUGACCAGGACUCAUCAAGACAGAUGUGACAGGAUGCUUGCUUAUAGUGCAGGAAUACAAGAGGAAAAAAUACAACAAUACAACUGCACUUGGAUGAAGGGCUCUGAAUACAAUCAGGGACCUCCGCUGCACUGCACAGAGGUGGUUCUUCACAUCACCAAUGUCCCGGGAUCCAAGCAAGGUCGUGUUCUCCAGCAUGAUCAGAUCAAACUGUCACAGGGCAGCUCUUCCAGCUAACUGUCUCUCAAAUCUGAAGGCCUGAGCAGGGAAAGGUUUGCUCCCCUAAUUAUAAUUAACUUCUGUUAUUUAAACACAUCUUUCUUUAAUUCACUCUGUUUCACGUUUGGUGGAUUUAACUGAAGAUGAAGGAAUGACCCAAUGAAAAGCACGAUUAUUUUUAGCUUAUUUUACACCAAGAAAAUGGUGUCCAGUGUUCUCCAGUUUUAAACGUCUGUCAGUUAAGAGGUAGUGCCGCUGACAGCAGUCACAGCCAUUUGCUACUCUUAGUAAGCCCCGAAGCACCCACAUCACCUCCUCCAGGAGCCGUGCUGCCGUGCAGCCCGCAGCGUAUCUCCGUUAAGACGCUUCUGUUCCAUCCGAGCAGCUGCAGACAGCGCGCCCCACCCUGUGGCUGAAACCGGUACUUCAAGAGCAGCUCUCAUUGCCGACAGGUUUAACCAAAACUGGAAUCAAUGUGUUCUCAGGUGCUGCACAGCUACGUGCACAUUGCCGGCAAGGCGAAACAAUUACGCAGUGACCAGGGUUAUUUUGUUUUAAGGCUGUGUCAGAUUUGAUCAGACUUAAGUUAAUAACUGCUCUUAUAACCUGAUGCAGUGCUCGUUUAUCAGGCAACUUGUACGCUUCUGAGUGGCAGAAGAGGCAUUUCAAACAGCUUUUUCAGCUCAGCAUUUGAAAACGUACUGCACUCAUUUACUACAGUUGGAAUCCAGUGCUUUGCAUGUGGAAACCAGUUUUAUUAUGCAAAUAAAACACCCAAACCCAAAGGAGGAAAAAAUAAUAUUGCUUCCAAAAUCAAAUGGCAGUGGAUAAUGCAAAAAUAAAAUAUUCACAAAGUAUUUUAGGAUUGCUAUGUGUAGGGCCAUAUGCAUUUGCACGUGUGUACGUACCCAUGACAUCAUUGCAUGUCACACAGGAGUUUUCUUCUUAGCAACUUUGGUCUCUAGCAUAAGGAACGGAACAAAAGAAGGGGCUGCCUGCCUGGGACUUCAUUACCCUUACACAUUUUGCAUUUCAGCUGACCUUUAACAGUGUGUAGUAGAAAUGCUGAAUCACAGCUUGAAGCAGUGAUUGAGCACCUGGUGGGAGGGCAGGGCCAGCCCAGGGGAGCACAGGUGCAGGCAAUGUACCUCAGUGAUUGGAAGGGGUGGUGCCAGGAUCCAGCCCCUCCCAGACCUCAUUUAAGGGCUGGCAGUGGCAGUGAGGGGAUCUUGGACGAGAUUUCUGUGUGCCGGAGGCCUUCCAAAGGUAAGCGGGUUUUCUUCCUUUGUUUCUGAGUCUAUGGCUGCUGCAUUUGGGUUUAUCUUUGCUUGCUGCAGCCUAGGACUUUGCUGUGCUUUCCAUCACAUUAUAGCAUUAAUGUUAACAUAAAAAUAGGCAACAGAAUCAAUCAAGUUCAAUGCCUCUUAAUUUUAUCAGUGCACCUCCAAGUUCCUAUGUCUUGAUUUCUUUAAAUAUUAGAAGCAUGAUUUCAGAGACAGUGGAUCAAGCACUAAAGCUACUAUAAGUGUUACAUGAAACAGGGCUUCUUGUGGUUUGGGUUCUUGUUUUCUUUAAAUGACAUUUAGGAAACUUUUUCUUGCAAAACUUUUUCUUGCUUUUCUAAUGUUUUGGUCCCUUCAAGUAAGUGGUAGGAACAUUAAAUCCUACCCAAAAAUACAUAAAACUACCUAUUCUUCUAAUGAACAUCUAUGGACACCUCUUCAUUUCAGUGGGUACCUCCAGAGCACUGAGAUCUGGGAAGUGUCACUCACUGAACAGUCUGUUCUCUUUGGGACAAACUAAGAGAAUUACCCCCACUGCUCAAUUCAGGGUAGUUGUUUUUCUGAGUCCAAGUCUGUAACCUUAACAAAAAACAAGUAGCACACCAGAAUCUUGAUAUUGACAACACCACUUUCACUUCAACAUUCAUACAAUAAUUGAGUAAUUAAGUAUACAGUGAGGCUGUGGCUUGGCUUAUCACCGAGCCACUGUAGGUCUGUUAAAUAGGUCAUGAUAUUAAGCCAUGCUUUCAAGCAUGAAGUUUGCUCCAAAGCAAAAAAAAAUAAAAAAUAAUUUAAAAAAGUCUUUGCUGGUAAAGCAAUAGCCUAAACCAGAGGGACAGGUUGCAAACAAUAGAGGGCCCCAAACACUACAAAUCACCAUGGUUGUCUCUAGGGCAGUGGCAGAAAAUGUUACUGGCUAGGACAAUACAGUCACACAUAUACUCCUAACAUCAAUUCCUGGCUUGAAGGGCUUCUUGCGUCUGGACACACAGAGGUGGUUAAAGUUGUUCCAGGGCACAUGCAACAGCUCCUUCAUGGGAUGCUCAUAUUCCAGUUUGAGCCAGGAAAAGAGAUUGCUGAAGGCAGCCUUUCAGAUCAAUGGAAGGACAAAAAAGAGGCAAUUAACACACCCACGUGAAAACUGACUGAUGAAAGCAGUGCAGGGUUUAUCUUUUCGGUUGCUUCAAAGACAUUCACUUUGAUCCCACUGGAGAGGGCUUUAAAGGGCUCAGACAACUAUUGCCAAAAGCCAGGUGAGAGAAGGGGACUGUUACUGCCAACUGGUUUCAACUGAGCUCCAGAAGAGAGAAAAAUUCUUAGCAUUGCUCUUUGUAGCAGUUAGCUCAAGGCUGUGUGAGCAAUGGAACCACCUAAAGGAGCUGGAGAGGGAAAGACAGUGAUAGUUGUUGAACUGUAAUUUAGGAUGGACAGACUUUGAAAGCCUGAUAGAUUGAAGGGUAAUCUUUUGAGUUUCCUAAAGAGACACUCAACCCUCCUUCACUUAAUGACACAGAAACAGCAAAAUGUUUCCUCGCUUUCUUCAGGUAUCAAACUUACACAGUGCCAUCACAGCUUCAUUAUGGAACUGGAAAUAAUGAACUUUUGGAUGUCAAAACUGAGUCUAGUCUAACAGUAAGUUAUCCUAAUAUCUGAAACAAGACAUGGGAGUGGGAAAACUUACUAAGUGAUGUGUAGGGACAUAUCAGAGCCCCUCAUCUAGCCGUACUUUAGCACAGCAGUCAGGACACAAAACAAAGUUGGUAUUGCAAGGGAUUUGUCUCACAUCACUAAUGAUAUGACUAUUAAAUAGCUUCUUAAAGUAAUUUUCCUCAUUACUUAAGUAAUUUUAUCUUCCUUAAACCCAGCUGGUGAAAGGCUGCAGAGCUGUAAACCUUUUACAGUUUUAACAAACUGCAACUGAGGAAAUUACACAUCCACAUCAGCACAGCCUGCAUUAUUCAACCAACCAUUAGCAGCUAAAUACAAAAAGGAAAGUGUCAUACUGCAAUGUGUGUAUUUAAUCCCACUCUUGCAGCAUUUCAACUUGGAAGGCUUACUUUGCAGGACCAGUAUUGCUGCCUACUCCUAAGUUUCUGAGGGCUUUGUAUUAACGAAGAACCUCAUAGCAGCAUUUUCAUUUUUAAAGAUGAGCUAUCUCAUUUUACAAGUCUUUAGCUGCUUGGUAGUAAUUCAAAGCCUAGCACCUGGGCAGGAGGUGAGUUGUAGGGAUUACACCAUACACACUAUGAAAUACACAAACAUAACUCACACUAUAUUCUUUUCCACCCUGCGCUACCAACACUGUGUAACUUUUCUGAAUUGAUCUACACUUCUGAAACAGUGUAUUUCUGUGAGAUAACUUGAAGGCUUCUUUGCCCAGUAAAUCAGCAGCAGGUUCUCAAGCUAGCAGUAGUAACCAUGACACACACAAGUUAGUAAACUCUACAGAGAAGAACCUACAAUAUGAAGCUGAAGCAAGAUGAUGCAGCAGGAAGUUCCAGGGGGAUGUUAAGUCAAAGUUUCUCCUUUCCCAGGGCAGGCAUGACAUUCCUCACUUCCUCUUAAUGAGUCUCAGUGAGCUGAAGUGCACAGAAUCUCUCAUUAACUAAUUUUAAAACCCACAGAACUUAAACUUACACAAAUUAUAUAAUAUUGUUCUCAAACAUUUAAUAGUCAAUUUUUACUGAUACGCAUCAGAAUGAAGUGUUAAAUACUCAAGUAGGAGUUAUGUAUACAAACAUGCAAGUUAAAAGGAAUGAAAUGCUCCACUUUAUUAAGAAACCAAAAAUACAAAACUGAAGGCUUCAUGUACUCAAACACUACUGAAAAAUGGUAUUUGUUUACUAGUAGUACUCAUAUUGACCAAGAUUAUUCUGAGUGUUGACAUUUUCCAUCAUUUGUGCUGUAAUAAGCUAGUUUCAAAUUAAGAACUUGGUGCAGUUACAGUAAAGUCUAGGUAUUAUAUGGGGUUUUAGUUAAUAUGCUGUUCUUUAGCCAAGAGCAUUUUAAGCUCAUCUACAACUGUUUUCUAGUUAGUGAGUUUUAAGAUGCGUAGUUUAAUCCACUAUAGCUCUACUGAAUGAUGCUCCAUGCAAAGAUAGGGCUUGUAGUCAUUUAACAGACCUAAGUGUCAUUCUUGGCUUUUUAAAGAAACAGCUCUGUGAAGGCAUGUUGUAAUGCAGUUAAAGUUGAGAGACAGUAGCUAAAGGUAGCAUCUGCAAGCUGAACUACACACUUAACUCUCAAGCCACUCCUCAGACCACAUAAAUAUUCCCACUUGGUAUGGGUCAAUUUAUGCUCAUCUGGCAAUCCAGCUCCCUUUGCCAGUCAAGUGUUCACUGCUUUAGUUUUACCUGGCAGUUAGUUCAGCUUCCCUUUGGUGCUUUAGUUAUAUGCAUCAGGAAAUCAAUGAAAGGUUAACUGUUAGCUCUGAUUUAGUAAGAGGAGCAUAACAAAGGGAAGAAAAUACUAAGAAUGCAAAGACAGAUGAGUAUUAGCCUCAGUUAAAGACACUUUAAAGACUUUUUCUAACAACGCAUGAAAAUUCACUUGCUUAGAGAUAUUUGAAAUACAACUUUAUUAUCUAAACAAAAAAAAAGAAUGGGAAUGACAGAAACAAGAUUUACCACAUAACACUUUGAUGUGACUGCAGCAGUCUUAUAUUUGAAACUCAAAGGGGAAGUAAUUGCAGUCCAAAAAACAGCUAAA